GAAGAUGUCACGAAGACCACGAAACUUAAAAGAACUCUGAGGAAGGGUUGUAGAAACGUUCUUUAAAAUGCUGAAACUUUAAGCUUGAAGACAAACAGCUGCGCUUUCUCUCACUGUUGCUAUUUCAAAUUGAUCUCAGGAAAUUCACAGCCUCUGAAUGCCUGAUUCCCUGCACGGAAGAGCAUCGUUCCAUCUCAUUCCAUAAUGACACAAUACAAGAAAAUUACCUCAUGUCCAAAGGAGCAGAGCUCACCAACAUGCUCAUCUCUCUCAAGGAUGGACUGGCACCGUGCAGUCUUAAUAGUCUCCUCUCAUUCGCACUGGAAUACGGGAUACCAAUAAAUUGGUAGCUCACAUUGAAAAUAUCCUACCUUAUGAUUUGGGAAUGGGUUGCACCAUCUCAAACCCAUUGUGCUCAACUUAUUCUGUGGUACGGUGCAUUUUUCAGCUUUCUCUAUCUUAUAAAACAAAAUCAGGAAUCCAACCCCUUAAUUAAUUGGUAUUUUCUGAAACCAUUACGAUGCUUAAAACUUAACUUGGCUAUUGAAAAAAACAUUAACCCUGUAGGGGUGGAACUGCAGUACAUAUGAAGCACGUGUUUAAGUUUUGCUUCUAUUAAACUUGUGAGGAGAAAAAGAAAAAAGAAAUACAACCUUACAUAGAACUCCAAAGUCUUUGCUUCCUAAGCAAGAUUUGUUUAUCACGUCAUAGAUAUUAUAAAACUGGUGAGAAUCUGUCAUAACAGGAAACUAAAGCAUUUUUGUCUGAAAACAUAAACAGAACUGCACUUCAUCUGAAUGCCUCCACAUCCCCUCAUCCUCUACCACUCCCACUUCAGGCCUUUGAUUUUACAUCUCCCUCUAUGUCUCCCAUCCCAGUACAAUACACCCAAAGUCUUGGUCCAUCUGUUGGCAGCAGCUGCAGCACAGCCCCAUACUUGAUUCCUCUGUUCCUUCUCCGUGCUGAGAAAAGCAAAGGUCCCAGUGGCAGAAUGAUGAACAGCAAAGCAGAAUGAAGGUUUGGGAAUGCUGCUGAUAAAAACUGAAAAAGUACACUCAGUAACAGUCUAAACCAGCAUAAGAAAACCAUUACCCCUUAUAUCCAUUCGGUCCAUUCUUCCAGGUAGAUCAGAUAGAUGCCAACAAGCAGCAGCUCAAUUAUUUGCUGGCAUCUCAGGAAAUUGUCUUUCUUAAAGCAUGUCCUACAGCAAGCAUGCAUCAUACCUGACAUGCAGGGAAGCAUGGCAUAUAGCGAUGAUGUACCUCAGCCCAACCUAUGUGGGAAGUAGAACGAAACUUAUCAAUGUAUUGCAUGCAGACUGCAGGUACAACAUCACAUUUAUUCUUUGUGCAAUUCCAGCUCUGUCACACAGCUGAAAUAAAUUGUUAGAAGAUAAAACAUCGCUUUACCACAUGAGAUAUUUUUGUAUCCAAAUUACACGCUCUGUGUAUAAUAAAGAUUAUCACUUGAUUAUUCUGAGGCAGACGAUGUAUUCAGAGGGUGUCACACUGAAAUAAUGCUCCCACGGAUGUUUCACUUUGCAAAAACUGUCAUAACUGAAAUCUCAUCUCUUUAGGCAGCUCUCCCAAGAUGAAGCCCGCUGCAGAUUGGCACACUGCUUUCACUUGAAUAACUAAUGCUGAAAGAUGGACUGCGUGCUGAGGGUGAUACUCCACUAGAUAGAUAACCAAACUUCCUCUAAUGAUGACAUUAAAAUGAUGCUAAAACAGACCGUAAUCUUUAUGAGUAUGAUUAGAAAGAAGUUCACCUCUUUCCCUGAUCUACUUAAAGGGAGAAAAAAAAAAUCUUUAAAAGCUUUCGUAGCCUCCUGUGCUAACUGAUAUUUCAUGAUAUUCCUCUGAGACACUGGGUACUGGUAACUGCUGCAGCUGUAUGUCCAGCAUGGAUAUAUUCAAGGACAGAAACACCAAAUGCUGUGGAUGCCCUUUUCUCUUCAUCUCUGCGGUCACUGCUCUCAUCAUGCAAUACAUUGGCAGCCAAGCAGCUAUAGAGUUCCUCCAUUCAAAUCAUGGUUGCAAAGUAUUGGCACUGAGGCAAACAUUGUUUCACUGUAGCAUCCAGACUCUGCAUCAAACUUCAUGGUUAACCUUGUCCUGCAGAGUAGCCUCGGGCUCACAUCAGUGACAGUUGCCAGAAUGCAUUCUGCUCACAUUCUGCAAGUACAUUCCACACACAUUAUAGCAUAUUGGAUAUACAAGCUCCCCUUUAAAGGAAGGGGUAAAAUGAAAAGAAAAAAAAAAUUAUUUUUAAGAGUAAGAGGAAAGUGAAUUGAACAUAAAAUAGUAGGCGGAAGUAUAUUCGUGAUCUAGCCCCCAAUACCACCACGAUAGAGGGGUUGGAUUAAGGAUUAACCUCUAAGUUUCAUUCCAACCCAAACUGUUCAAUGACUGUAAGUGAAAUUAAUCUUAGGCUGAACAAAUAGUGUUUGAUUAGAUAAG
rnacentral:lncRNA from 1 species